UACGGAGGGUGCGAGCGUUAAUCGGAAUUACUGGGCGUAAAGCGUGCGCAGGCGGUUUGUUAAGCGAGAUGUGAAAGCCCCGGGCUCAACCUAGGAAUUGCGCUUGUGACUGGCGGGCUCGAGUACGGUAGAGGGUGGUAGAAUUUCCAGUGUAGCGGUGAAAUGCGUAGAUAUUGGAAGGAAUACCGGUGGCGAAGGCGGCCACCUGGUCAGAAACUGACGCUGAGGUACGAAAGCGUGGGGAGCAAACAGG
rnacentral:rRNA from 1 species